GACGAACGCUGGCGGCGUGCCUAAUACAUGCAAGUCGAGCGAAUCGCCGAGGGGCUUGCUGCUCUGACGUUCGCGGCGGACGGGUGAGUCACACGUGGAUAACCUGCAUAUAAGCCUGAGAGAACUUCGGAAAACGGGUGCUAAUAGCGGAUAAUAUAUUGAACCGCAUGGUUCAAUAGUGAAGGACGGCUGUGCUGCCACUAGUAGGUGGAUCGCCGCCGCAUCAGCUAGGUGGUAAGGUAACGGCUUACCAAGGCAACGAUGCGAAGCCGACCUGAGAGGGGGGUCGGCCCCCUGGGCACUGAGACCCGCCCGACACACCGACGGUAGGCAGCAGUACGGAAUCCUCCGCGAGGGGCCAGAACGUGACGGAGCAACGCCGCGUGAGUGAUGAAGGUCUUCCGACCGGAGAACUCUGUUAUCAGUGGAGAACAAAUGUGUAAUUAACGGGGCAGGUCUUGACGGUACCUACUCAGAAAGCCACGGCUAACUACGUG
rnacentral:rRNA from 1 species